GACGAACGCUGGCGGCGUGCCUAACACAUGCAAGUCGAACGGAACUUCUUUAAAGGAUUUCUUCGGAAUGAAUUUGAUUAAGUUUAGUGGCGGACGGGUGAGUAACGCGUGAGUAACCUGCCUCUAAGAGGGGAAUAACAUUCUGAAAAGAAUGCUAAUACCGCAUAACAUAUAUUUAUCGCAUGGUAGAUAUAUCAAAGAUUUAUCGCUUAGAGAUGGACUCGCGUCCGAUUAGUUAGUUGGUGAGGUAACGGCUCACCAAGACCGCGAUCGGUAGCCGGACUGAGAGGUUGAACGGCCACAUUGGGACUGAGACACGGCCCAGACUCCUACGGGAGGCAGCAGUGGGGGAUAUUGCGCAAUGGGGGAAACCCUGACGCAGCAACGCCGCGUGAAGGAUGAAGGUCUUCGGAUUGUAAACUUCUUUUAUUAAGGACGAAGAAAGUG
rnacentral:rRNA from 1 species